rnacentral:sRNA from 1 species
UACAGUCAGUCAGGCUCAGGGGAGCAUCACACCUGUACAGUCAGUCAGUCAGGCUCAGGAGAGCA